rnacentral:rRNA from 1 species
GGGGCGCAGCAGGCGCGAAACCUCCGCAAUGUGAGAAAUCGCGACGGGGGGAUCCCAAGUGCCAUUCUUAACGGGAUGGCUUUUCAUUAGUGUAAAAAGCUUUUGGAGUAAGAGCUGGGCAAGACCGGUGCCAGCCGCCGCGGUAGCACCGGCAGCUCUAGUGGUAGCAACUUUUAUUGGGCCUAAAGCGUCCGUAGCCGGCUUAAUAAGUCUCUGGUGAAAUCCUGUAGCUUAACUGUGGGAAUUGCUGGAGAUACUAUUAGACUUGAGACCGGGAGAGGUUGGAGGUACUCCCAGGGUAGAGGUGAAAUUCUGUAAUCCUGGGAGGACCGCCUGUUGCGAAGGCGUCUAACUGGAACGGUUCUGACGGUGAGGGACGAAAGUUAGGGGCGCGAACCGGAUUAGAUACCCGGGUAGUCCUAACUGUAAACGAUGCGGACUUGGUGUUGGGGUGGCUUUGAGCUGUCCCAGUGCCGAAGGGAAGCUGUUAAGUCCGCCGCCUGGGAAGUACGGUCGCAAGACUGAAACUUAA